rnacentral:rRNA from 1 species
AACAGGAUUAGAUACCCUGGUAGUCCACGCCCUAAACGAUGUCAACUAGUUGUUGGGUCUUCAUUGACUUAGUAACGUAGCUAACGCGUGAAGUUGACCGCCUGGGGAGUACGGUCGCAAGAUUAAAACUCAAAGGAAUUGACGGGGACCCGCACAAGCGGUGGAUGAUGUGGAUUAAUUCGAUGCAACGCGAAAAACCUUACCUACCCUUGACAUGGUCGGAACCCUGCUGAAAGGUGGGGGUGCUCGAAAGAGAACCGAUACACAGGUGCUGCAUGGCUGUCGUCAGCUCGUGUCGUGAGAUGUUGGGUUAAGUCCCGCAACGAGCGCAACCCUUGUCCUUAGUUGCUACGCAAGAGCACUCUAAGGAGACUGCCGGUGACAAACCGGAGGAAGGUGGGGAUGACGUCAAGUCCUCAUGGCCCUUAUGGGUAGGGCUUCACACGUCAUACAAUGGUCGGAACAGAGGGCUGCCAACCCGUGAGGGGGAGCUAAUCCCAGAAAACCGAUCGUAGUCCGGAUCGUAGUCUGCAACUCGACUACGUGAAGCUGGAAUCGCUAGUAAUCGCGGACCAGCGUGCCGCGGUGAAUACGUUCCCGGGUCUUGUACACACCGCCCGUCACACCAUGGGAGUGGGUUUUACCAGAAGUGGCUAGUCUAACCGCAAGGAGGACGGUCACCACGGUAGGAUUCAUGACUGGGGUGAAGUCGUAACAAGGUAACCGUA